rnacentral:tRNA from 1 species
UGAAUCAUAGCUCAAUGGUAGAGCAGCCCACUCAUAAUGGGUAGAUCGAGGUUCAAUUCCCCGUGAUUCAA